rnacentral:lncRNA from 1 species
UCACCUCCUCCGGUCGCCGCCGCCAGAGUUUUGCUGGAAGGUACGUCGUUAAAUAUGACAAUUUGUUUUCCACGGCAGAUUUGAGGAUCAAUUCCGAAAGUCCAACUAAUUAUGUCCGUUACGUUUUCCAUGACCACAAACCGAUAUUUCCAGCCUAAUUCCACUAUUUCAGCCUCCUAAUUCCAUUUGGAGAGGUCCGGCUGGAUUUUCACUUGAAUCCAAAUUCCAGAGACAUUUGGAAUUCCAACAUAAAUUGGCAGCAGUCUUUCAGAAGAAAAUGAAGCCUAUAUCUAAUAUCUAUAUAUCGUUGCUCUUGUACAUCCUCUAGCUCUCAAUCUGUGUUACUACUUAUUGCCAGGUCGGGCUCUUACCGGAGGAUAUGAACAGAGGGGUUCGAAAAGGACCGGAAGCACUUCGAGAGACUCAGGAUCAGCUACGAAGAACGUGCCCCCGGCACCUCCACCCCCUCCUGUCACCACCAAAUCCUAUAGUCGUCAUUUCACUUGCUCGGCCGGUGCAUUGAACAACGACAAGCUUGCAGUUAUGGGCUACGGGGGGGAAUCCGACGCUAGCUCUAACAAUCACGGCAAACGUAGUCCUCCUCCACCGGUAGUUAUUUUCGAUGAUACUGCUCCAGCGCCCGGUUUCAACUAUACCUACAACGACUUUCAUCCUUACACUAACAGUACUGCGCCUCCGCCGGGAUGGAACAAGACGGUGACCAAUCAGAC